CGCAGCCUCUGGGCCGCUCGACCAUGCCCAGUCUGAGUGGGUCUGGUCUGCAAAACUUGGAUUCGACCUCAUCCAAGAGCUCGUCCAGGUCCUUCGCCAUCUUGAAUCGUUACGUCUUUCUCCCGUUCCCGUCGCGACAGCGCCGGGUGGUUUCCAGGGGCAACGCGAGGAUAUUACAGAUCGCGCUCUCGCUCGCGGCCACUCCCGCGCAUGCGCUUGUCGUCCCGUGGCCGCCCAGGCGUCCGAGAGGCCCGGACGCUGACGUGCUCGCGCAAAAGGGCGCAGGGGGUCCGCGAGUCCUGGCGGAGCUGGCCAGCCCGCGGGGCCGGAGGUCGGAGCUGUCCCUUUUUGCGCGACCUCGCGACGCUUUGCUUUUCUUCGCUCCAUAUUGGCGUGUUUUGUUCCGUCUCCCCCUCCUGGGCUCAGGUUGUAACCACAAUCACGCGACACCCUAGCUCCCUCACGCGCUCUUUUUACGGUCCCAUUGGGGUCCCCAUUGUAUUCCAACCGUUCAAAAUUCCUUAAAUAAUCUGCGGGAAACAUUGGGAAGAACUCUCCGAAACGAAAACAAGUAUCGGCAGCAAAAGUUCACCUUCCCGUAGUCGGCAGGAUUCGAACCUGCGCGGGGAGACCCCAAUGGAUUUCUAGUCCAUCGCCUUAACCACUCGGCCACGACUACUGCUGCUGUUAAUUUUGGCAGUGAGAUCUAUGUAGACUCUUCACACGAGUGUGUACAGUGUAACAGCAGAACAUCACUGAUUGCUCUGUCCAUUCCUGUUUGCCUGCUCUCCUGUGGGUACUGAAAUAUCUCACCUGAAGGAUGAACUCCACCAGCCUCUGAGUCAGCUCAGCACUUGCUGACUCUUCUCCAUCAGGGUUCAAUCUGGAAUUGGUCUGGAUAGCCUAACUCUGGUAUCUGGCCCUUCUGCCCUGCUGGAGCUGAAUCAGGGAAUUGACCCGGAGAUCAUGAUCAGGGAGGCCAAGGUUCAAAUGCCAGAAGAGCAUAGUUUCAAUUCCCCUGUGGUCAACUGCAGUCUGGAAGCACAUAGUCUUCCUCCUGAUGAAUCAUCUGAAGGUCAGUAGUAGCCUAACUCAAUGUCACAGUGCCUAUGUCCCUCAGCCUCCUUUCAUCUCCUCACAUAGGCAUUUUAUCUCCCAUCAUCACAAGAAGAGUGAGUACUAUAAAAUAAGAUACUUUGAGAGGGCCCACAUUCAUAUAACUUUUAUUACAGUAUAUCAUAAUUGUUAGUCUCUUACCCUGCCUAACUCAUAAAUUAAACUUUAUCCUACGUACGUAUGUAAAGGAAAACCAUAUAUAUGGUUUAGUACAAUCUGUGGUUUCAGGCAUCCACUGGGGAGGGUCUUGGAACGUAUCCCCCAUGGGUAAGUGGGGUUUACUGUAUCUUUGUGUGCUGAUUCCUGCAUAUGGGAAGCUCGAGAUGGAAAGGAUGCUACACAGGUUGCACAAAGAUUGAGAUGCUUAUAGUUGAGAUUUUAAAAACCUAAUGUUUAUUUUUCAGCAACAUAAAUGACUUCCAUCUAUGGACUUUUAGUUGGACACAUUGUAAACGUGAUAUGGUUAUAUAGCCUGGUGGAAGCCUAUUUCAACCAUGUUCCAUCUUGAGGAAUCAUAAUGGGGGUGUGUUUUUGUUAUAUUGUAGGCAGAUUGAACCAUCCGUACUUGCCUGGGGCCUUGGCACCAUUCACCCCUUACAAGUGUCCUCUGUGGGUCUGUGGUACCUGGGGAAAUUGGGCUGAGUCAGGCAGAGUUCAGUGGAGAUUUAGCCUUAAAACACUCCAGAAUGCAUACAUGGGGCCUUGGCGCUUUGAACGAUCACCCAGGAAUUGGAAAAGGGAUUUGACUUGUGAGUCCUGUCUAAAAGUCCCUGAGCAGCUUCAUUUUACUCCUCAAUCAUAAAAAUUAUCCCCCACAUCCAAGUUAAGAAAGACUGCCAGCAUUGAAAAGCUAAAUAUCCACAUUUCUAAAAAAAAACUUAGGAAAUGUGAAUAUAGUAACUAAGAAUAAGAUCGGUGUUCUGAGCUCUUUUAAUAUUAUGCUACCAUUGCCACCACCUCCCCCUUCCUAUAAGGUUUGCUGUCUGAGUUCUCUAUCUGAAUUUAACUUCAAUCAGAAGAGGGAAUGGGAAGUGCAAGGUGUGUGUGUGGGUGGGGAGGGGGCGUGUGUGUAGGAGGGAGGUGCGUGGUACAGUAGGCAAAAGAGUUAGGGCUUCAAACUUUAUUCAGAGUUUCCUGAAUGUAUCAGGAUAGCAGCAACGAAGUUUGGUCCAAAUAAUGUCUUUCUUGACCUUUUAGUACUGUGUGGGAUUAUGAGAGAUAAUGGGAUUUUUUUCCCCUGCAGCUAUCUGGGAGGUUGUAUGGAUCUUCAAGGUAGGAUUUAAAACUUUCUAUGCAGCCUGUCAUCUGUAAGCCAUCCUGUCCAAGAAAUGCUUUAUCACAGUACAGGGGAAUUGUGAAGUCUUUUGAUUAAAAUGCAUUUGCAUAGACAAAUAGCAAAUAGCAGGAGAGUGCAGGAGAUGAACCUGCCCUGAAAGGUCCUAGAUUGGCUGAUCAGCCUCUAAACUUGGGAGUAGAGAACUGACCAGGACAAGAAUAGGGGUCUGAUCUCCUCAGAGGCUGUUGAGGGAUUUGCCAACCCCAGAACGAGCUUGCUGCUACUGUUCACAGAAGGGUAGGUUCAGAGAGUAUCUUCGAACAGCCAUUGAAAAUCUAGUUCAAAAUUGUUACUAAUGUUCGGUUGAUGAUAUCUCUGUACAACGAGGAGAAAAUGUUGUUGUUGAAGAGACAUAGCUAAUCAAAUGGCUUAUUUACUAUCUCCUUGGAGAAGUCUCUUAGAAUGGUUAUAAUAAUUGUGAAUGAGCUAAUCAAGCAUUUUUUGACCUGAUCCCUGUUGAACUAUGCAUCCUGACCAUUGGCAAAGGCAGGAUUGCUAUCCACCUAUGGCUAAUAAAGGAUACUAAUCCACACAUGAAUUCCUUAUGAGCAAAGAAGAGAGUAACUUUUUUUCCCCUUGAGGAUAGUGAAAAAUCUAUUUUAUUUUUUUUUAAGUUUAUUCAUUUUGAGAGAGCAAGGGCAUGAGCUGGGGUGGGGCAGAGAGAGAAUCCCAAGCAGGCUCUGCACUGUCUGUGCAGAGCCUGACUUGGGUCUCAAACCCAUGAACUGUGAGAUCAUGACCUGGGCCAAAAUCAAGAGUGUGAUGUUUAACUGAUUGAGCCACCAAGGCGCCCCCAAGAUCUUUAUUUUUAAAAGGAGUUCUUUGAAGAGAUUGAAGCAUCUAAAAGAGUAGGGACAUUACAUAUAAUUUUUAUCAUGUCCCCUCUUCCCAUGCCUUCUGGUGUGGUUUUGGGCAGAGUGCACACUUUUAUUUUUUUAAAUUUUUGUAUGUUUGAAAGAGAGGGAGAAAGUACAUGUGUGCUAGCAGGGGAGAGGCAGAGAGAGAGGGGACAGAGGAUCUGAGGCAGGCUCUGCUGACAGCAGAGAGCCUGAUAUGGAUUCUUUGCUGAGAGAGCUCAGACUCCCAAACUGUGAGAUUAUGACGUGAGUGUUACAGACAGAACAACGUUAUAGCUUUCACUAUUUGAAGCCAUUCCUUUUCAAAGAUCUGGAGAGAGGUUGUGAUGAUGGAGGGCAGUCUUAUGAAGGUGAUAUGGAAUUUGGAAGGAGAUAGAAAAACUGGAGAGUUUAUAGGAAGAGGCAAAAUCUUCUUAGAAAUGCUGGAAAAAAGAUCCUAGACCAAUCUGACCUCACUGAGCUGUCUUCAUCCCCCCAGCUGUGUGACUGUGGGAAAGUUGCUAAAACUCCCAAUGCUUGCAUUUCCUCAUUUAUAAAACUGGAAGAAUACUUUAUGUACAACAUAGGGCUGUUUCAGGAAUUAAAUGAACUAACAUAUUAGAACUUGGAGCAAUGAUUGGCAAUAGUAAUUUCUCAAUAAAUGUUAACUAUUAUCACAUUCAUUAAAGAUCUUAGGGAAAGGAUUAGUUUCUUUCCUCUCCCCUAAAUGUAAAAGGUUUGGCUAUUCUACUUUAAAAAUAACAUUUUAAUUAUAGGAAGAGAUUUUUGUGAACCUUCUAGCAUAGUAAUUCACAAGUGUGGAGUCUGUCAUGCUUUUCCCUCAUUUUGAGCUUUUUGGUGUCUCUGAAACAUCUUGGGAAAUGGGUCUUUCUUUGGUGCUCUCUGGAGGGAAGACCCGUGAGGCAGUGAAGCCUUGUGGAAGGGGCCUCGCAGGUGGAGCAGACACCUGUUUCCACUUCUGCCUCUAUUUACUGGCCCUGGGAGCUGUGGGAGUCACUUAACUUCUUAUAUAUCGGUGGUACUUAGUGAGGCGGAUGUGAGAAACCUCUGUAUGGUUUUAAGAAAAAAAAAACAUAGGGGAUUGUAAGAAGAUUGGUAAUAUAACAAGUGUUACUUUUUACACAUGUAAAGGAGUUUUUUUUGUUGUUUGUUUGUAAAAUGUAUUCACCUUGAGAGGCAAAUGACACCCAUAAUACGGUACUCCUUUCAGAGUCUUCAGACUCAUGGGUGAAAACCAGUCCUUCAACUUUAUAUCGAACCUUAAAACUUCUUUAAUUAAAAAAAUUUAACUUAAAAUUUCAGAUUCAAAGUGGUAAAAAUUGGUUCCACAUACCCUUCAUCUGAAUUCCCCAAAUAUCAACAUCUUAUAUAACUAUAGUAUAAUCACCAAAAGCAAUACUAUGUAAU